rnacentral:rRNA from 1 species
UAACGCGAAGAACCUUACCAGGUCUUGACAUCCUUUGACCACUCUAGAGAUAGAGCUUUCCCUUCGGGGACAAAGUGACAGGUGGUGCAUGGUUGUCGUCAGCUCGUGUCGUGAGAUGUUGGGUUAAGUCCCGCAACGAGCGCAACCCUUAUUACUAGUUGCCAGCAUUAAGUUGGGCACUCUAGUGAGACUGCCGGUGACAAACCGGAGGAAGGUGGGGACGACGUCAAAUCAUCAUGCCCCUUAUGACCUGGGCUACACACGUGCUACAAUGGAUGGUACAACGAGUUGCGAGACCGCGAGGUUUAGCUAAUCUCUUAAAACCAUUCUCAGUUCGGAUUGUAGGCUGCAACUCGCCUACAUGAAGCCGGAAUCGCUAGUAAUCGCGGAUCAGCAUGCCGCGGUGAAUACGUUCCCGGGCCUUGUACACACCG